GACGGAGGGGCUAGCGUUGUUCGGAAUUACUGGGCGUAAAGAGCGCGGUAGGCGGUAUAAUAAGUUGGGAGUGAAAGCCCGGGGCUUAACCUCGGAAUUGACUUCCAAAACUGUAAACUAGAGUGUAGUAGGGGAGUGAUGGAAUUCCGUAGUGGAGAAGUGAAAUUCUCAGAUAAUCAGGAGGAACACCUGUGGUGAGUG
rnacentral:rRNA from 1 species